rnacentral:lncRNA from 1 species
CCGCAGCCAGGGAGCCAGUUAGCUGUCUUUUUAAGGCUCCCUGGACAUAAACAGCAUUUUCCAUACUGGGAGCCCAGCAGAGAGGCUUAAACAAAAAUACCAAAGAGGAGGCCUAAGUGAAAGAAAGUCAGGGGAAGGGACCCCCCCACCCCCCCCCACCCACACACGCACCAGUUAAUGGGAGAGUAAAAAAAGAAAGAAAAACCCCAGAAAGCCUCAGUGCUGUGCACAGAUCCAGUGACCUCCCUGGAGGCCCCCCUCCCUCUGGCCUUCCCCGUGUCUUCCACAAGACCACAGAGUUCUGUGGCCAAGCCUCAGCCUGGUAACUUGGGGCGCUGGUCCCAGGGAGGUGCAGGGGGCCUAUAGGAAUGGACUCCCCCUUGCAUGGGAAAGAUGCUCUCUCAGAAGCAAGGGGACUAGACUGCUGUUAGAGGCCAUGCGGGCCCUUCUUGGGGUCCCCUCUGUCCUUUUCUCAUCCCAGCACAACAGAGACACCUUGGCCCUCUGCUGCCCACCUGCCCAUCUCUACCAGGCUUUGCCCAUGUCACCCCAAAGCUUCUGUGCACCAGACUCUGGGUCCUGCGGGCCUUUCUCCCUGUGUCGGUGAUGUACACACAACCUCCCAGAACUGCAUCAUGAUGAGUAAGUGUUGCCAUGGAUACCAUGCCCUUGCCACUUGUCUGGAUGGCAUUAAACACUAGUAUCAUUAAAAACAUUUGUGCCUUGGUUUUAGUGACUCAUUGUGCC